rnacentral:rRNA from 1 species
UUUAAAGUGGUACGCGAGCUGGGUUUAGAACGUCGUGAGACAGUUCGGUCCCUAUCUGCCGUGGGCGCUGGAGAAUUGAGGGGGGCUGCUCCUAGUACGAGAGGACCGGAGUGGACGCAUCACUGGUGUUCGGGUUGUCAUGCCAAUGGCACUGCCCGGUAGCUAAAUGCGGAAGAGAUAAGUGCUGAAAGCAUCUAAGCACGAAACUUGCCCCGAGAUGAGUUCUCCCUGAGACUUUAAGUCUCCUGAAGGAACGUUAAAGACGAUGACGUUGAUAGGCCGGGUGUGUAAGCGCAGCGAUGCGUUGAGCUAACCGGUACUAAUGAACCGUGAGGCUUAACCUUACAACGCCGAAG